rfam:Sorghum bicolor cultivar BTx623 chromosome 2, whole genome shotgun sequence.
GUACUUGUAUCCACCUCAAUCCAUGUAUGUUGGAGUGGAUUGAGGUGGAAAUUAAACUAAGUUCCACCCUAAUCCAGUUCAAUGUACAUGGAUUAAGGUGGAUACGAGU